GUCACUUCCUCCCACCGGAGAUAGCCGCGCGGGAGGAGGGAGGAGGGGAGUUCCAGAGGAGAACUCCCAUCUGCCUCAGCCUGCCACUGGACCAGGGAAACCACCCUCCAGAAAAAGGUAAGAACCUGGAGGGUGGCUAAAUGUAUGUCAGUAGGUCUGUGUGUGUGUGUGUAUGUCUGUGUGUAUGCCAGUAUGUCUGUGUGUGUGUGUGUCAGUAUGUCUGUGUGUAUGCCAGUAUGUCUGUGUGUGUGUGUGUCAGGAUGUCUGUGUGUAUGCCAGUAUGUCUCUGUGUGUGUGUCAGUAUGUCUGUGUGUAUGCCAGUAUGUCUGUGUGUGUGUGUCAGUAUGUCUGUGUGUAUGCCAGUAUGUCUGUGUGUGUGUGUGUGUGUGUGUGUGUGUGUGUGUGUGUGUGUGUGUGUGUGUGUGUGUGUGUGUGUGUGUGUGUGUGUGUGUGUGUGUGUGUGUGUGUCAGUAUGUCUGUGUGUAUGCCAGUAUGUCAGUGUGUGUGUAUGUAGGUAUGUCUCUGUGUGUGUGUGUACGUGUGUGUCAGUAUGUCUGCCAGGAUAUAUUUGUGUGUCAGUGUAUGUGUGUGUCAGUAUGUAUCUGUGAAUGUUUUAAUGUCUGUCUGUGUGUAUGUGCCAGUACGCCUGUCUGUGUGUAUGUCAGUAUGUCUGUGUGUGUGUGUCAGCAUGUCUUUGUGUGUCAGUAUGUCUGUGUGUGUAUGUAAGUAUGUCUGUGUGUGUAUGUGUGUGUCAGUCAGUAUGUCUGUCAGUGUAUGUGUCUGUGUGUGUGUGUGUGUCAGUAUGUCUGCCAGGAUAUAUUUGUAUGUCAG